GUUAAAAAGCUCGUAGUUGAAUUUCUGGUCAGUUGUAGUCUUGGCUUCGGUCGGGCUAUGGCUGGUCAUCCGUUUGCAAGCUGCACUCGGCCUUCACUGGUUCGGUGUAGUGAGCUGACAUUUUACUUUGAAAAAAUUAGAGUGUUUCAGGCAGGCUUUUGCCCGAAUACAUUAGCAUGGAAUAAUGGAAUUGGACUUAGGUUCAUUUGGUUGGUUAUUGGAUCUGAGUAAUGGUUAAUAGGGACAGUUGGGGGCAUUAGUAUUUAAUUGUCAG
rnacentral:rRNA from 1 species